AUCCUUUCAUUUUAGUAGGGGCCAUGGAUUCAUUAGCUCAGAGGAAUGAAUGAUGGAGAAUUUCAGGUAUAAAAGCAGAAAAAUGAACUUCCUUUACCUGAGGUGAACCAUAACUAAACUAAGCACACCAACAAGAUCAAAAGGCACAGUUUCGUUGCGGGGAGGAUUCAAGACCAAGGCCAUCGGACAUCUUGGGAACCUGAAAGAGCAGGGCAGACAGAACCAAGAUCCAAAUCUGGAGCUACUUGCAAAAGAGAAUAUGAAAACAGACUAAAAGAAGGUCUUCCAGAGCAAAAGUGAAGGAACCCGUUGUUGACUCUGAGCUAAUUUUAAAAAUGUCCCUUUUCUUUUGAAAUUUCAUCACCAUGACUCAUCUCCCUGUGGGCCAAAUUCUGAAGCUCUGAGUCAGCCUCACUCCUAGGAGCUGGAGCUCAAUAGGAGUUUUACCUAAAUAAAGCUUGCAAGAUGA